rnacentral:rRNA from 1 species
AUUGAACGCUGGCGGCAUGCUUUACACAUGCAAGUCGAACGGCAGCGCGGGCUUCGGCCUGGCGGCGAGUGGCGAACGGGUGAGUAAUGCAUCGGAACGUGCCCAGUAGUGGGGGAUAGCCCGGCGAAAGCCGGAUUAAUACCGCAUACGACCUGAGGGUGAAAGCGGGGGACCGAAAGGCCUCGCGCUAUUGGAGCGGCCGAUGUCGGAUUAGCUAGUUGGUGGGGUAAAGGCUUACCAAGGCGACGAUCCGUAGCUGGUCUGAGAGGACGACCAGCCACACUGGGACUGAGACACGGCCCAGACUCCUACGGGAGGCAGCAGUGGGGAAUUUUGGACAAAGGGGGCAACCCUGAUCCAGCCAUGCCGCGUGCGGGAAGAAGGCCUUCGGGUUGUAAACCGCUUUUGUUCGGGAAGAAAUCCUCUGGGCUAAUACCCCGGGGGGAUGACGGUACCGGAAGAAUAAGCACCGGCUAACUGCGUG